rnacentral:lncRNA from 1 species
AGUCACUCAGAGCUUCGUGGAUUCAUUGCCUCCCUGUGUGCCUCCACAUCAUUCAUCCAGAGACGGGAGCCACGGCAGUUUGAUCAUCCAGCCAUCCACUCCUUCCAUCAUUCAUUCAUGGAGUCCUGGAAUGUCAGGGCUAGACGGGGCCUUCGAGAUUAUCUGGUCCAGUGGUUUUUAAACCAGGACACGUUUUUCAAAGGAAGGCUUCUGUGGAAGUUCUAUAGAGAAAUCAGAUCAACGCAGGCAGUGGGGAGUCGGGGGUGGUGUCCAGAGUGUCCUGUCUUCUCACCCCCUUGACCCUGACAGUUGGUUGGGGGCUGUGUCCAGACACCCACUCCAUGAGAACAUGUUGCCUUCAGUCACAAACUGUUGCAGCAACUCAUUCUCGCACAGACCUGGGCCCUAACCUCAGCUGCCACUCUCCACUCACAAAGCUACAUGACCUUGGGCAAGCAAAUCAUGUAAACUUGAGGCCCUCCAUCUAUUUCCUCCCCUGAAAAAUGGGAAUAAUAACAGGACCUACCAGUUUUAUUUUUCUAUUGCUGUGUAACAAAGCAUCCCAAAACAUAGUGGCUUCAAACAACCAUUGUGCUGUCUCUCCUAGUGCGUGUGCCGCUGGGCUCAGCUUGCCGGUUCCUUUGCUGGUCUCUCAUUGUUGCAGUCGAGGGUGGCAGCCAUCUGGAGGACCGAUCUGGAUGCUGGGAUGGCCGGGCCUCCUGCUCUCCGUGAACCCUCAGGAGCUCGCCUGAGGUCUCCAGCUGGAUUACCAGUCGUCUUACACGGCGGCUCAGAGCUCCCAGAAGCACACAAAUGGAAGCUUCCAGGCCUUCCUAAGACUUAGGCCCAGAAAUAGCACAGCCUCACUUCUGCCACAUCCUAUUGGUUAAAUUCAAGGGGAAGAGAAAUAAAUGCCACUUCUUGGUGGAGGAGUGACCAAGAAUUUGCAGUCACCUUUAACCCACAACAGUCUGUGUGACUCUGGGAAGGAAAAUUACUUAACCUUUCUGAUUUUCCAUCCGUGUUCUCAUCUGUGAAGAACAGAUACAUCGAUUCAUGGAAAGUAGUUGGAACAGUGCCUGGCCCAUAAUCUCUGUGCUGCCACUUUAUGGAUGUGCCUUUGAGACCCUGAAAGAUGCUUAGCCUCUCUUGGCCUCAGUUUCCCUUCUGUAACGUGGGCAUGUCUCGUAAGCCUCAAGUGAAGAGUAAAUGAUUUAUUUCCUAUAAAGAGCCGCAGCGUUAGAUGUGUGUGUUUUUUCCUUCUCUCUCCCCCAAGCUCGCACAGCCACAGGCCUGGUAUUCUCUCUGCCUGGCGGUCAUGGGGUUCAAGCCAGAUCCUGAGGGCCAGGAGACCCGUGCUCCCUUCCUUUGUGCCACCUCCUGACCUGUGGUCAGGCCCCACUAGGAGAGGAGUGGGGUCACAGACCAGGGAAGUCCCUCCAUCUUGCCUCUGCCAAACCUUGUCCUGGGAGCGUGCCUUUCCCUCUGCUCUCCUCUAACAGACACAUAAUGAGCCCAAAUGAUGCGCCAGGCACUGGUCCAGUGCAGGGGACUAGGGGCAAGCCAGCGCUGGAGUCCCCCUCCCCCAGCGCCCUCCUUUGGGAGAGUGGGGUAGGAAGGGCAUCUUUUGCUCCAUAUUGAGGAAUAAAGAGCAGGAACGGGAGUCACCCUCCCUGUUUCUCUUGGGUUUGCCGUUCUACUUCCUGGAUGUGUCUCCACUUUUUGAACCCCCUUUCUGGUGAGAAAAGCAGAGAAAUUGGAGCCAGAGAGGCCCGGGUGCAAUCCCAGCUCUGCCUCUUUCAAGCUGUGCGAUGUUCACCAAGUGGCUUCACCUCUCUGGCCUCCGUUUCCUCUUCUGCACGACAAAGAUCCUUAUGACGUUUGUCGCUGCGUUGUUGGGAGAAUUAAAUGAGAAAAUGAACCUAAGUGCGUAACAAAGGCGUUUUCCCCUCUUUUUUGUCUUGUUUCUUUUUCCUUGCCCCUUUCCUUUCAUUUAUUUAGGAAAAAUUUACUGAGUCUUCGAUAUAUUGGAAGUGUGGGGAAAAGAGAGGGACAGGAGUCCUGGUCUCUGUUCUCCGCAAAGCAAGACUUGAGCCGACCUCGCAGCCCGGCCCGCUGGCCUCAGCCUUCAUCACGUCCCAUCUUUAUCCCUGAGGAAGGGGGAGCUCCGAGCCUUCUGAGCAGGGGGUGACACGAUGGCACCUGUGUUUGAGGACAAUGAGCUGCUAGUGGUCACUCCUCGUUUUCUUCAUCUUCCCUUCUCCCUCCCUGUGACUCUCCUCUCCCUUCCUUCUCUCUGCUCCUCUCCCGCCGCCGUUCCCCUCUCCCCUUCGGCUCCCCCUGCGGCUUGCCAGCUGCCAGGAGAUGACAUCUCCUUUCAUGUUUGGGGCUGAGCACGGCUUUGAAUGUUCGUUUGAUUCCGUUAAGAUAAUAGCUGGUUCACUGUCAGAUGCAGACUGAUCAGUUAAAACCUUAAUCACUGCCUGUCUCCUCACACGGCACUUAUUUUUUAAGAGAUUAAUCCCCUCAGCCCUGCUCCAGCUCACAUUGGGCUAGAAAAAAAAGGCAAGGUUUGUGCUAUCCUUAUUAUUAUUAUUGUUGUUAUUGUCAACCUCGUUACUCCGCAUAUUAACUCCUUCCCUCUGUUCUUUCAACCGUUUCUUUUUUUUUUCCCCUCUGGGUUCCCAAUCCUCCCCUCAGCUCACGUGGAUUAUCUGUCUCUCAAUUUCUCUGUGUCUCUGUCUCUGUCUGUCUCUGUCUCUGUCUCUGUCUCUCUCUGUCUCUCUCUCUGUCUCUGUCUCUCUCUCUCUCUCUCUCUCUCUCUCUCUCUCUCUCUCUCUCUCUCGGAUGUGGCUCUCCAGAUAGAGUGUGAGCGCAACAGCCCCAUACACGCCCCGCUGCCUCCCCAUGCACACUGCAUGUUCCGGCACGCUUUUCCGGGUUAGGAGAGCGUCCAGGCACACAGACCAGGGCGGCUGGAGGAUGCAGCUCUGUGCCGUGGGCUGAGCCCGCACUUUGGAGUCAGACUUGCCCCAGUCCUCCCUCAGAUACUCACGUGCUGUGUAACCUUGGAGAGGAGCCUCAGUUCCUCAUCUGUAAAGUGGGGGUGAGGACGCUCACUUCUGGGAGGCCAUGAGCUCUGAGCACCUGAAAACAGGUAAGUACUCACGCAUGGCAGGGCCCGGCACAGAGAGGGGCUCAGUGUUAUUUCUGUUCCUCCUUCCCACCUCCCAGAUUCCACGGAAAGAUCCUUUCCAGAGGUUGUCCAGUCUCUCCCUGAAGAUGUCACAUCCUCUCCAGGCCAUUUUGCAGAUGCUCCUCACUUGAUGACCUGUCUCAGCAGACCAGCCAUGCCCAGUGUCAGGAAGGAGAUCCUGCUUGACUGGCCAGGAGCUGUCUGUCUGCACUCUCCUUCUCCGUGGAGGUCGCGAAACAAAGCACAGGACUGCAGUGGCAGUUACAGAGAUCCAUGUUAGGUAGAAAGAAGAACUUUCUGGCCCUGACGCAUGGGAACAGGUGACCAAAGAAGACUGGUAUCCCCAUCAUUGGUUCCAUUGCUUCCUUCCUUCUUGGCAAGGUGUUAAGAGCCUGGAAUCUGCGGCCAGACUGCCUGGGCUUAAAUCACUUGCGAGCUGGAUACCUUGGACAAGUCACUUAACCUCUCU